UACGUAGGGUGCAAGCGUUGUCCGGAAUUAUUGGGCGUAAAGAGCUCGUAGGCGGUUUGUUGCGUCGGCUGUGAAAUCCCGAGGCUCAACCUCGGGUCUGCAGUCGAUACGAGCAAACUAGAGUGUUGCAGGGGAGACUGGAAUUCCUGGUGUAGCGGUGAAAUGCGCAGAGAUCGGGAGGAACACCCGUAGCGAAGGCGGCACUCUGGGCCGGUAUUGACGCUGAUGCGCGAAAGCCAGGGGAGCAAACGGG
rnacentral:rRNA from 1 species